UGUUCCUCCUUCCAAAUUUCAUUCCUCUGAAAAAAAAAGCUACAUCCUCUGGCCUCCGCGUUUCCUAUCGUUUCGGUUCGGCGCCGGCGCCGCCACCGCCUCCUCUCGACCGCUCGCCCGCCCGUUCGCCAUGUCGUUGCUCGCCGCGGCCACUCCCACCACUUCCUCCCACUUCUCCGCACCCCUCCUCCCCUCCUUCCACGUACCCCGCAGGAACCUCACCGCCCCACUCCACCGCAUCCGCCGUUCGCGGCUGUUGACCGUCGUCGCCUCCGUCCCCGACCCCGCGGCGGGGCCGGUGGAAUACACGCCUUGGCUCAUCGCCGGCCUCGGCAACCCAGGCAACAAGUACUACGGCACGCGGCACAAUGUGGGGUUUGAGAUGGUGGAUCGCAUCGCGGGGGAGGAGGGGAUCACGAUGAACACAAUCCAGUCCAAGUCGCUGCUGGGAAUUGGUUCAAUUGGCGAGGUGCCAGUCUUGGUGGUAAAACCGCAAUCAUACAUGAACUACAGUGGAGAGGCAAUUGGACCUCUUGCGGCCUAUUAUCAAGUACCAUUGCGACACAUCCUCUUGGUACUCAUCAUCAGUGUUCUUUUGAUGAUUUAUGAUGAUAUGAGCCUCCCCAAUGGUGUACUACGGCUUCAAAAGAAAGGUGGUCAUGGUCGCCACAACGGGCUACAGAAUGUGAUCGAGAAUUUGGAUGGUCGCAGAGAAUUUCCUCGUUUAUCUAUAGGCAUUGGUAGCCCACCUGGAAAAAUGGACCCACGAGCUUUCCUUCUGCAGAAGUUCAGUUCAGAGGAACGAGUCCAGGAAAAAGACAAAGGACCUUCCACCAUUUGGCUGAGCUAUCAUAGUUGGUGCAUAUAAAUGUUGGCUAUAGGCAAUGCUAAACCUCGGGGAAGUAAACAUAUCGUAUUCUAUAUAGAGAACAAAGACUUGGUUCCAUGUUGGAUAGACUACACUGUUUGGAGUAGUGCUGCAAGAGUCAUUAGCGCACACACAGGACUAUCCUAAUUUACAUGUAGUGCCAACACGACCCCCCCCCCCCCCCCCCCCAAAAAAAAAAAAAACCCAACCUACAUGGUAUGACACUGCCCAGGCAUUUUGCUAAGAAGACCUUCUCACAUAGGUCAACAAAACCCUUGAACCCUGGCCCACCCAUACACAGCGGCACCAUAGCCCAUGUGAGAACAACCACGACCUUGGGCCGGACCUUAUACUUGUCCUUCGGUGUGGGACAGCCAAGGAAAUUUUCUUUAACCCCAGCCUGAAAUUCGCUCGCACAGGGAGUAAACCCAAUCUGAGGAGUGCUACUAGGGCCACCUAACCAACUCAGCUAGAGGCCUGUCCGCAACAAUACCAAAUCAAACUGCUGUUAAUAAAGAGGGGGGGGGUGCAAAGUUGGUUCUGGAAAAGAGCAUAUUAGGAAUUAGGAUUCUCAAACUUUACUGUAUCACCCUAGGAUAGAUGUUAUUUACUUAAGCCUCGAGUUACUCAUUCUGUAGUGGUGCACCAUUUUCUAGUAUAAACUAUGUGAUAUAGCUGCUAUUGGAUUGUUGAUUUAAACCUGCUCUAUAAUUUUGAUGAAGAUUGAUGCUUCUCUGGAGCAAGGGGUGGACGCUGUGAGAACCCUUGUGCUUAAGGGUUUUUGUGGGAGUACUGAAAGAUUCAACCUUGUGCAGAAGUACAAGUUCCACAAAGUUUGAAUGCUUGAGGAUCCGUGAAAUGGUUGGGUUUACUUCUGCAAGAAACCUGAUAUGCACCAAUAUCAUUUGAACUGUUGGAUGUGGUGAUUUGCAGUUUUGAACUAUGCAGGCAUAACACAACGAGGGCGUGAAGUAAUCAUAUAUCUCCAUCUGUUGAUCACUCGCAUACAGAGGAAGACAUCAGGCUCAAUUAUUAAGGGAAGCUAUUGUUUAUUAUCCUGUGGUGGCCCAAAAAGCACUUAUGGAGAAAAUAAAGAGAUAUGGUUGCUGAAUAUUGUACAUAUGUUUUUUCUUAGCGGUGAAAUGGGUGAGGUCACCAUGGGUUUUAAACUACGCUCUAAACUAUUGUCAUCAUGAGCCAAAAAGAAGGAUUUUCCUUUGACAGCACAAUUUCGUGCGGGACCCUACUGGGAUUCGGGUGAUCUUAAAUGCUGCCUACUUUGUGCUUGCAAUCAACUAACAAAAAUGUUGUGGAUGUGACCAGGAUCCUUUCUUGAGGGGCAAUACAACAAACUCAACGCAAA